ensembl:lncRNA
UGAGCCUCCACGUUCACGGUUAUUACCUGAAUGUAUUGCAGUUCUUGUCACCGCCUCACUGCAGUCUCUCCCUGCCUCAUGAGAUCACGUAUGACCAAAAUGGUGACAGCUUCAGUAACAGAAUCAAAGAUGGGCUGCUCAAGCCAUGUGGAGAGUGACUGCUGGGCAAGAGAGGAGCCUGCUGGCAGUGGCAGGAGGCACAGAGAGUGGCACUCAGUGGGCCCUUGCCAUUCAAGCGCUCUAAGAAAGCCACCACCCAAACUGGUGCUGCUGUGGGCCAGACCCACAGCAGACAGUGGGAACAGCAGCACAGUUAGAGUUUCAUAAGUUGAAAGGUCACAGGUAGCUGCUUCUGGAAAGAUAUUUGAGUACUAAACCUUCUCCAUUGUCACGUCCUUUUAUUUUUUUAUCUACUUAUUUAUUUGAUGGUUCUGGAAAUUACAUGUUUGAGUAAU